rnacentral:rRNA from 1 species
AACUUUUUUAGAAGAGAUGCAUUUAUUAGAUAAAAAACCAAUACAUGCUUUUAAAGUAUGGGAAUUUGGUGAUUUACAAUAACUUAGCAAAUCGCAUAGUGAAAACAGGCGAUAAAUCAUUCAAGUUUCUGACCUAUCAGCUUUCGACGGUAUGGUAUUGGCUUACCGUGGCAGUGACGGUUAACGGGGGAUUAGGGUUCGAUUCCGGAGAGGGAGCCUGAGAAACGGCUACCACAUCUAAGGAAGGCAGCAGGCGCGCAAAUUACCCAAUUCUAACAGCAUAAGAGAGGUAGUGACAAGAAAUAACAAUACAAGGCAGUUAAAAUGCUUUGUAAUUGGAAUGAUAGAAAUUUAAACACUUUUUAAAGUAUCAAUUGGAGGGCAAGUCUGGUGCCAGCAGCCGCGGUAAUUCCAGCUCCAAUAGCGUAUAUUAAAAUUGUUGCAGUUAAAAAGCUCGUAGUUGAAUUUCUGCUAAAAAUAACCGGUCUGCUUUUAAUAAAGGUGGUAUCUUGGUGUGUUUUUAGCAAUAAUGUCCUUUGAAAUGUUUUUUACUUCAUUGUAAUAAAUUAUUUUCAGGAUUUUUACUUUGAGAAAAUUAGAGUGUUUCUAGCAGGCUAACGCUUUGAAUACUGCA